UACGCGGUGAGCAACAGACACUGGUCUUUCUCUCCUCUCAGAGGUACAAGGUGGAUGAUACGCGGUGAGCAACAGACACUGGUCUUUCUCUCCUCUCAGAGGUACAAGGUGGAUGAUACGCGGUGAGCAACAGACACUGGUCUUUCUCUCCUCUCAGAGGUACAAGGUGGAUGAUACGCGGUGAGCAACAGACACUGGUCUUUCUCUCCUCUCAGAGGUACAAGGUGGAUGAUACGCGGUGAGCAACAGACACUGGUCUUUCUCUCCUCUCAGAGGUACAAGGUGGAUGAUACGCGGUGAGCAACAGACACUGGUCUUUCUCUCCUCUCAGAGGUACAAGGUGGAUGAUACGCGGUGAGCAACAGACACUGGUCUUUCUCUCCUCUCAGAGGUACAAGGUGGAUGAUACGCGGUGAGCAACAGACACUGGUCUUUCUCUCCUCUCAGAGGUACAAGGUGGAUGAUACACGGUGAGCAACAGACACUGGUCUUUCUCUCCUCUCAGAGGUACAAGGUGGAUGAUACGCGGUGAGCAACAGACACUGGUCUUUCUCUCUUCUCAGAGGUACAAGGUGGAUGAUACACGGUGAGCAACAGACACUGGUCUUUCUCUCCUCUCAGAGAUGCAAGGUGGAUGAUACGCGGUGAGCAACAGACACUGGUCUUUCUCUCCUCUCAGAGGUACAAGGUGGAUGAUACGCGGUGAGCAACAGACACUGGUCUUUCUCUCCUCUCAGAGGUACAAGGUGGAUGAUACGCGGUGAGCAACAGACACUGGUCUUUCUCUCCUCUCAGAGGUACAAGGUGGAUGAUACGCGGUGAGCAACAGACACUGGUCUUUCUCUCCUCUCAGAGGUACAAGGUGGAUGAUACGCGGUGAGCAACAGACACUGGUCUUUCUCUCCUCUCAGAGGUACAAGGUGGAUGAUACGCGGUGAGCAACAGACACUGGUCUUUCUCUCCGCUCUUGUUUGAUUUGAACAAACCGUGCCUCCAGUAGGCUUUGGUUUCCGCUCUGCGAGCUUCGGUUAAUAAUGCCAUGGGUGGGAUGGAGAC